GACGUAGGGCGCGAGCGUUGUCCGGAUUUAUUGGGCGUAAAGAGCUCGUAGGCGGCUUGUCGCGUCGGAUGUGAAAACCCGUGGCUCAACCAUGUGAUCUGCAGUCGAUACGGGCAGGCUAGAAUUCGGUAGGGGAGACUGGAAUUCCUGGUGUAGCGGUGAAAUGCGCAGAUAUCAGGAGGAACACCGGUGGCGAAGGCGGGUCUCUGGGCCGAUAUUGACGCUGAGGAGCGAAAGCGUGGGGAGCGAACAGG
rnacentral:rRNA from 1 species